UCAGGAUCAGAGUUAGGUGUGUUUUACCUGCUAGUCAGGAUCAGAGUUAGGUGUGUUUUACCUGCUAGUCAGGAUCAGAGUUAGGUGUGUUUUACCUGCUAGUCAGGAUCAGAGAUAGGUGUGUUUUACCUGCUAGUCAGGAUCAGAGUUAGGUGUGUUUUACCUGCUAGUCAGGAUCAGAGUUAGGUGUGUUUUACAUACUAGCCAGGAUCAGAGUUAGGUGUGUUUUACAUACUAGUCAGGAACAGAGAUAGGUGUGUUUUACCUGCUAGUCAGGAUCAGAGUUAGGUGUGUUUUACCUGCUAGUCAGGAUCAGAGAUAGGUGUGUUUUACCUGCUAGUCAGGAUCAGAGUUAGGUGUGUUUUACCUGCUAGUCAGGAUCAGAGUUAGGUGUGUUUUACCUGCUAGUCAGGAUCAGAGUUAGGUGUGUUUUACCUGCUAGUCAGGAUCAGAGUUAGGUGUGUUUUACCUGCUAGUCAGGAUCAGAGUUAGGUGUGUUUUACCUGCUAGUCAGGAUCAGAGUUAGGUGUGUUUUACCUGCUAGUCAGGAUCAGAGUUAGGUGUGUUUUACCUGCUAGUCAGGAUCAGAGAUAGGUGUGUUUUACCUGCUAGUCAGGAUCAGAGUUAGGUGUGUUUUACCUGCUAGUCAGGAUCAGAGUUAGGUGUGUUUUACCUGCUAGUCAGGAUCAGAGAUAGGUGUGUUUUACCUGCUAGUCAGGAUCAGAGUUAGGUGUGUUUUACCUGCUAGUCAGGAUCAGAGUUAGGUGUGUUUUACCUGCUAGUCAGGAUCAGAGAUAGGUGUGUUUUACCUGCUAGUCAGGAUCAGAGUUAGGUGUGUUUUACCUGCUAGUCAGGAUCAGAGUUAGGUGUGUUUUACAUACUAGCCAGGAUCAGAGUUAGGUGUGUUUUACAUACUAGUCAGGAACAGAGAUAGGUGUGUUUUACCUGCUAGUCAGGAUCAGAGUUAGGUGUGUUUUACCUGCUAGUCAGGAUCAGAGAUAGGUGUGUUUUACCUGCUAGUCAGGAUCAGAGAUAGGUGUGUUUUACCUGCUAGUCAGGAUCAGAGUUAGGUGUGUUUUACCUGCUAGUCAGGAUCAGAGUUAGGUGUGUUUUACCUGCUAGUCAGGAUUCAGAGAUAGGUGUGUUUUACCUACUAGCCAGGAUCAGAGUUAGGUGUGUUUUACCUACUAGCCAGGA